UACGUAGGGGGCUAGCGUUGUCCGGAUUUAUUGGGCGUAAAGAGCGUGUAGGCGGCCAUACAGGUCCGUUGUGAAAACUGGAGGCUCAACCUCCAGACGUCGACGGAAACCGUAUGGCUAGAGUCCGGAAGAGGAGAGUGGAAUUCCCGGUGUAGCGGUGAAAUGCGCAGAUAUCGGGAAGAACACCCGUGGCGAAGGCGGCUCUCUGGGACGGUACUGACGCUGAGACGCGAAAGCGUGGGGAGCGAACAGG
rnacentral:rRNA from 1 species